AUAACUUUGAAAUCAAACUAUAGAAACAAAAACUUUAUUUAAUAUCUGAAAGUGGACUAAAAAUACAAAAAUAAAGAAAAAAUGUGAGUGCUCUAUAAAAUCUAUCCUUUUCUCUUUUCUUCCCCUGUAGGCCCAUAGGGCAAUUCCCCAUGCAACAGCUCCAUUGCUGAUGUCUGUGUGGCAGCAAGUGACAUUACUGGCUCAUAUAAAUUAUCCUAAGGGUGGAUUGAUGGUUGUUAAAUCACUACUGAGUCACAUCUAUGUUCAUCCUAUAGAGUUGCAGAGCCUCUCUGAAGUCUAAAAUUCUGUCAUUUGAGUAGGAGCAAUCAAUGGCCACUACCUUACAUUCUGAUGCCUUCUCAGGAGAUGCAUUACACCAAUUUUUCAGGAUUUGAUUUUAGAAGAAUGAAGUUAUGAAUGUGAAGGGACAAACUAUUACCAAUGCAAAUUCAGCGAAUACAUAUGAUCAUGGUUAUUUACAUCAUCAAGGACUAUCUAUUAAAAUGAAGAGUAUCCCAAGUAAAACAAAACAAAGUCAGAAACCUGGGGAAUCAGAUUGUUUAUGUCGUUAACUGGAAAGUUAUGAAAUGGGCCAGAAGACUGGAUUUACAAUUCUUGGGGACAAGAAAUAGAUCCAAAAAUGAAAAUGCUGAGGGAAGCAAAUCAUUUAGAAAAAAAUGUCCCUGGGAUAUCAAGAAAUUUCUUGGGAAAUAAAACAAGUGGAAUCAUUCCAUC
rnacentral:lncRNA from 1 species